UACGAAGGGGACUAGCGUUGUUCGGAAUUACUGGGCGUAAAGCGCACGUAGGCGGAUUGCUAAGUCAGGGGUGAAAUCCCGGGGCUCAACCUCGGAACUGCCUUUGAUACUGACAAUCUCGAGUCCGAUAGAGGUGGGUGGAAUUCCUAGUGUAGAGGUGAAAUUCGUAGAUAUUAGGAAGAACACCGGUGGCGAAGGCGGCCCACUGAAUCGGUACUGACGCUGAGGUGCGAAAGCGUGGGGAGCAAACAGG
rnacentral:rRNA from 1 species